GCUCAGGAUGAACGCUGGCGGCGUGCCUAAUACAUGCAAGUCGAGCGAACGGAUAAGGAGCUUGCUCCUUUGAAGUUAGCGGCGGACGGGUGAGUAACACGUGGGUAACCUACCUAUAAGACUGGAAUAACUUCGGGAAACCGGAGCUAAUGCCGGAUAACAUAUAGAACCGCAUGGUUCUAUAGUGAAAGAUGGUUUUGCUAUCACUUAUAGAUGGACCCGCGCUGUAUUAGCUAGUUGGUAAGGUAAUGGCUUACCAAGGCGACGAUACAUAGCCGACCUGAGAGGGUGAUCGGCCACACUGGAACUGAGACACGGUCCAGACUCCUACGGGAGGCAGCAGUAGGGAAUCUUCCGCAAUGGGCGAAAGCCUGACGGAGCAACGCCGCGUGAGUGAUGAAGGUUUUCGGAUCGUAAAACUCUGUUAUUAGGGAAGAACAAAUGCGUAAGUAACUGUGCGCAUCUUGACGGUACCUAAUCAGAAAGCCACGGCUAACUACGUGCCAGCAGCCGCGGUAAUACGUAGG
rnacentral:rRNA from 2 species